AACGAACGCUGGCGGCAUGCCUAACACAUGCAAGUCGAACGGGAUCCUAGCUUGCUAGGUGAGAGUGGCGGACGGGUGAGUAACACGUGGGAAUCUGCCUUUUGGUUCGGGAUAACCGCGGGAAACUGCGGCUAAUACCGAAUGCCCUCGAGAGAGGAAAGAUUUAUCGCCAGAAGAGGAGCCCGCGUCCGAUUAGGUAGUUGGUGGGGUAAAGGCCUACCAAGCCGACGAUCGGUAGCUGGUCUGAGAGGAUGAUCAGCCACACUGGGACUGAGAUACGGCCCAGACUCCUACGGGAGGCAGCAGUGGGGAAUAUUGGACAAUGGGGGCAACCCUGAUCCAGCAAUGCCGCGUGAGUGAUGAAGGCCUUAGGGUUGUAAAGCUCUUUGCCAGGGAAGAUGAUGACUGUACCUGAGAAUAAGCCCCGGCUAACUUCGUGCCAGCAGCCACGGUAAU
rnacentral:rRNA from 1 species